rnacentral:lncRNA from 1 species
CAGUUUCUAUGCAGAAUAUAAAGAGGAUCACACUAAGCUACUAAGUACAGAAGAUGUUCAAGCUUGAAGACAUCUUAGUAGCUCAACACCAACAACAACAACACUAACAACAACAAGUAGCCAGGGCUUGAGGGGUCCUUGUCCAGAGGGACUAAAUGAAGAUCCAAACAUGCUGGGCUUGAAGAGUUCCUAGGGAACUAGAGGAGUUCUAAGCCUGCUGGGCUUGAAGAGUUCUUAGUGAACAAAACAUCCAAGGCUGCUUACCUUGAAGGAAUCUUAGUGAUUCAGGGUGUUGCCCUUCCUUAGUGGAAUUCAUGCC